rnacentral:rRNA from 1 species
AGAGUUUGAUCAUGGCUCAGGAUGAACGCUAGCUACAGGCUUAACACAUGCAAGUCGAGGGCAGCAUGGUCUUAGCUUAGCUAAGGCCGAUGGCGACCGGCGCACGGGUGAGUAACACGUAUCCAACCUGCCGUCUACUCUUGGACGAGCCUUCUGAAAAGGAAGAUUUAAUACAAGAUGGCAUCAUGAGUCCGCAUGUUCACAUGAUUAAAGGUAUUCCGGUAGACGAUGGGGAUGCGUUCCAUUAGAUAGUAGGCGGGGUAACGGCCCACCUAGUCUUCGAUGGAUAGGGGUUCUGAGAGGAAGGUCCCCCACAUUGGAACUGAGACACGGUCCAAACUCCUACGGGAGGCAGCA